UACGUAGGGGGCAAGCGUUGUCCGGAAUCAUUGGGCGUAAAGAGCGUGUAGGCGGCCCGGUAAGUCCGCUGUGAAAGUCCAGGGCUCAACCCUGGAAUGCCGGUGGAUACUGUCGGGCUAGAGUCCGGAAGGGGCGAGUGGAAUUCCUGGUGUAGCGGUGAAAUGCGUAGAUAUCGCUUGGAACGCCAAAGGUGAAGACAGGUUGCUGGAGAUAUGCCGACACUGAGACGCGAAAGCCAGGGGAGCAAACGGG
rnacentral:rRNA from 1 species